GACACACCCAGCGGCAGCCGUUGACUCCCUCCACCCUUGCUUCCCUCUCAACCAUCUCACCUCCAUCUGUCCAGUGGAGCCAGAUGUCCCACCUUCUUGGGAGAAAUUAAUUGAGGCUCAUUUCCAGGACAGAGGGGCAAGCUGGGUCUGAGGAGCCAAGCAGAAAAACUUCCCAAAAUCACUGGGUGGGGAGGGGUCAGAGACUUACUGCUGCCCCAGCUGUUCUGACUCUGCCCCCAGCUUUUGGCCCCACCCUUUUAAAGCACCUUCAGAGGUUCCCAAUGGUGACAGUAAACAAGUCUCCACUGUCCUGGCCAUCUCUGCUGUGUUCACCCUACUCCUGAUCUUUCUGGCUGCUCAGGGACUGACAGCCAAGAUGUGAGGCUGUGAUGAGCAGGAACAGGGAGGCCUGGAGCCCCCAGGUGAGUGGAGUGGCUUGGCUUUAGGGAAGAGCAGCCUAGCCAUUGUCAUCACUUCCCUGAUCUGCCUAAAUUCUGCCCAGCAGUCCGUGAAAAUGGUUUGCUGAUGACAUAUACAGAUUUGCAAUGAUCAAGAGGCGUCCUGUGAAUGCAGUUUGCAAAGGACUUAGGCACACAGCAUCUCCUUUGUUCUCACCACAAGGCUGCCGGGUGUGCAGAUGUGAGGAUUAUUUCAAUGGUGAAGAAGCAUCCUGAGAGGUUACGUAGUUCAACUAAUGUCACACCAAGAGCAGGAGAGCAUCUGGGCAUUUGGACAUGGAAGGUGUGGGGCACAAGCAUCUCAUGGCCAGGGAACGGGGGAGGAGCAUCUCAGAGCUGCAUCAGAGUUCAUGCUGGUCCUAGGACAAGAGUCAAGCACACCCUGCUUUCACCAGCUGCUGGUAGCUUUCACUCAGAGUCUGAUGCUAAAGAAGUCUCGACUCAGGAAAACCACAAGGGUGGACUUGGGAAGACUCAACAGGUUGUAAUGACUCUCCAGCAAAUCAUGUCACCAUGCCAUUUGAUGAUGGUAGGAAGAAACAAAGCCUUGAAGAUUCAUGCAUUGAGAGAAUAAGAGUUAGUGAGUAAACCAGAUGUGUUUCAGGACUGGGACCCUGCAGUCAUCAACCACCUCACACCUGCGUCAGUAACAAACCCAAGCUACAGCAUGAUUUUUGUUCUACCUCAGCAGAUAUUUUAUAGAUGGAAAAACUGAGGCAUAAAGUGGGUAAAUACCUCCCCCAAGGUCACGAGAUAAAGAUAACGCAGUCAUCA
ensembl:lncRNA LINC01723 long intergenic non-protein coding RNA 1723